CCUACGGGAGGCAGCAGUCGAGAAUCAUUCACAAUGGGGGAAACCCUGAUGGUGCGACGCCGCGUGGGGGAAUGAAGGUCUUCGGAUUGUAAACCCCUGUCAUGUGGGAGCAAAUUAAAAAGAUAGUACCACAAGAGGAAGAGACGGCUAACUCUGUGCCAGCAGCCGCGGUAAUACAGAGGUCUCAAGCGUUGUUCGGAAUCACUGGGCGUAAGGCGUGCGUAGGCUGUUGCGUAAGUCGUGUGUGAAAGGCGCGGGCUCAACCCGCGGACGGCACAUGAUACUGCGAGACUAGAGUAAUGGAGGGGGAACCGGAAUGCUCGGUGUAGCAGUGAAAUGCGUAGAUAUCGAGAGGAACACUCGUGGCGAAGGCGGGUUCCUGGACAUUAACUGACGCUGAGGCACGAAGGCCAGGGGAGCGAAAGGGAUUAGAUACCCCUGUAGUC
rnacentral:rRNA from 1 species